CCUACGGGUGGCAGCAGUGAGGAAUAUUGGUCAAUGGACGAAAGUCUGACCCAGCCAAGUAGCGUGAAGGAUGACUGCCCUAUGGGUUGUAAACUUCUUUUAUAUGGGAAUAAACUGUUCCACGUGUGGGAUUUUGUAUGUACCAUAUGAAUAAGGAUCGGCUAACUCAGUGCCAGCAGCCGCGGUAAUACGGAGGGUCCGAGCGUUAUCCGGAUUUAUUGGGUUUAAAGGGAGCGUAGGAGGAUUGUUAAGUCAGUUGUGAAAGUUUGCGGCUCAACCGUAAAAUUGCAGUUGAGACUGGCAGGCUAGAGUACAGUAGAGGUGGGCGGAAUUCGUGGUGUAGCGGUGAAAUGCUUAGAUAUCACGAAGAACACCGAUUGCGAAGGCAGUUCACUGGACUGCUACUGACACUGAUGCGCGAAAGUGUGGGUAGCAAACAGGAUUAGAUACCCUUGUAGUC
rnacentral:rRNA from 1 species